rnacentral:ncRNA from 2 species
CGAUAAAUAAACAAUCAAGGUGCUGUUUCAGCUUAAAAGGGAAUCCCGUAAAAAUCGGGAGCGGUCCCGCCGCUGUGUUCGGGGACGAACGCUGCAAUAUUAUGCCACUGCCUGAGAGAAUCAGGCGGGAAGGCGCAGCCUUUAGGAUGAUCCGAGAGCCAGAAGACCUGCCUUGAUGUAAUAAUAUCU